CCCCGCGCCGCCGCGCGUCAACGUGAGCCUGGAUGCGGCGCCCGCCGAGCGCUGGCUGCCAGCUCUGCGCCUCUUCGACCCGGGCCUGGUGCGCGCCGCAGUGGCGCGGAUCGUGGGCGACAGAGUCCCCAGGUGGGUCCUCGGGGUGAUCGGAGAGCUGGUGGCAGAAAUGGAGAGCUUCCUGCCUCAGCCCUUCACGGAGGAGAUCCGUGGCAUGAGCGAGUUCCUGAACCUCAGCCUGGCUGACGGCCUCCUGGUCAACCUGGCCUACGAAUCCUCUGCAUUCUGUACCAGUGUUGUAGCCCAAGACACCAGGGGCCGCAUUUAUCAUGGUCGGAAUCUGGACUAUCCUUUUGGGGAUCUCCUACGCAAACUGACGGUGGAUGUGCAGUUCGUAAAGAAUGGGCAGGUUGCAUUCACGGGAACCACUUUUAUUGGCUAUGUGGGAUUAUGGACCGGCCAGAGCCCGCGCAAGUUCACAGUGUCUGGCGAUGAGCGAGAUAAAGGCUGGUGGUGGGAGAACGCGAUUGGUGCCCUUUUCCGGGGACAUGCUCUUGUCAGCUGGCUCAUCCGCACUACCCUGAGUGAGUCAGAAGACUUCGAAGCAUCUGUUUAUAAAUUGGCCAAGACCCCCCUCAUUGCUGAUGUGUAUUACAUCGUCGGUGGCACAGCCCCUGGGGAAGGAGUGGUCAUCACCAGGGACAGAGGUGGCCCAGCGGACAUUUGGCCUCUAGAUCCUUUGAAUGGAGCGUGGUUCCGAGUUGAGACAAAUUAUGACCACUGGAAGCCAGUGCCUAAGACAGAUGACCGAAGAACGCCUGCCAUCAAAGCUCUGAAUGCCACAGGGCAGGCACACCUCAGUCUGGAGGCCCUGUUCCAGGUUUUAUCAGUGGUUCCGGUUUAUAACAAUCUCACAGUUUAUACCACAGUAAUGAGUGCGGCCGCCCCGGAGAAGUAUGUGACUAGGAUCAGAAACUUGAGCUGAAGAAUGAGCACUCACAUGGUUCAGUGACAGGACAGUGGAAAGCAUGCUGGUUCUUCAGAGAAGCUUUCCUGGCGUUUACCCCUGAGGGCAGUGUCCUGCACAUGUGUCACACAGGGAUGCAGAGGAGACUGAAGAGGGCAGUGGGAGAGCAUCGAGCUCAGUGCUGCCCACGACACACAGCAGCACAUGGUCUGACUGUGCUGUCUGAGACGGCUCGUGUAGUUGUCAUUGUCCUUACCCUGUUUCAGGACACAUUUGGAUACCAAGACCCCAUGGUCCCAUAUGCUGCUGUUUGCUGGUUGUGUCUUAUUUGGGCAUAAACCUAGAUUUUAUGGAGGGAUCAGUGGACCUUGUGUUUCUUAAAUACUCUCCAAAUAUUUUUAUGAGAGUUUUAAAAAUAUGUGUAUAUAUUUAUUUUUAAGUGACACACAGUAAUUGAACAUAAAUAUAAAUGGGGUGUGACAUUUUAAUGGAUAUAUAUGUGCAAUGAUCAGAUCAGGGUGGUUGGGAUAUCUAUCAUCUGACAUAUUUUGUCGAUAGUUUUUAUAGGUGCCUGGCAGCAACAAAUACUGCACCAAGUGGAAUGUUCAUAAUGUGUUCCUUACUCUGGCAAUAAUUUUUGGAUUGGAAAUUUUUAGUGAAAAUUAAAGAACCCAAUGGCCACCCCACACCUAUAUAAAUACAUAUGCUAGGCCUACAUGAAACAAAAUUUGUCCUUUAAAAAAUCAGUGUCCAGCACACCUCAGGAUGUGACCCAAAAAACUGAUAAUCUAGAUGAUUUUGGCCUCAUAGUUUUUUAUUUUCAAUAAUGCUCUCAUUGAGAUGGAAUCCACAUGCAGACAACUCCCUACUUGCAAGUGUGUAAUUCUCUGGCUAUUAGCAUAUUCAGAGUUAUGCAGUGAUCACAAACCUGUCACUCUGUCUCACCCCAGUCCACCUGGUAAGCAAGUCAUCUCCUACUCAGUGGACAGCUCAGAUGAGGGCUAGUUAGCCUACGUAGCGAUAAAGGGAAUAUUCAGAGAACCAUAUGCAACAGUAGUAGUCUACUUGUUUAUACUGGGGAUGGGUGGUAUGUGCAGUUCAAGGUUGCCAUUUCACCUUUUGCUCCCCUCCUGAUGUCAAUGAGUAAGUGCUUUGGAAGGAGGGUGAAUACAGUCUUGGUGAGGUCAGAGACCCUGUUGGACCAGACUUGUUGCACUGUGUUGAUCACCGGUUGAACCCUCAUUCCUGUGACUGGAAAGGUCUUGCUACUCUUUAUAGCAUGCUCUGGCUGGAAAUUGGUGAUUCACCUGCAUGGAGUUCUGCAAAUUAUGAAAAAGGUGAAAAGGAGGUGUAUAGACAGUGACAAGCUUUGUGAACCACCUCUGAAGUCAUUGAAGGAAUGACAGGGUUUGUAUUCCAGUGUCACAAAGAAACACCAGAGACCUCCUUGGGAUGACCUCCUGUGACCUGAAGACAUUCAGCAGAGGACCUGUAUUAAGUUUUCAUAGCAUCUGAUAUGGAGUAAAAGUACUGGGCUUUCUGUUUGGUCAAAAAUCAGUUGAGAGAGAAAUUCUAUCAAAUAUCAGGCAUGUACAAGAACUUUUUGAAAGGUCUUCAUAAUUCCUGUAGAGUCGCUGUGGCGCCACCUACUGGAGACUAUAUGCCAUGGCCAAUAUGGCACUGGCCCUUAGAGGCCAUGUGCUAUGCCCCACCCUUGUUCCUGGGGUCAAAUUAUGACUUCCUACUCCCCUUUAUGUAAUAUCCUGUUUCAUUUUCCCAUGCUCCCACCCAGUGCUAGCCUGCCAGGUCAGCUAGCAUACCCUCUAAACCCUGCCUCUAGCCUGACCAUAUAUAACCAUUGUCCCCAUGACCCAGCCCCCGGAAGAUUCUCUUUCUCAGUCAAUCUUCUCUGUGCCCUCUGUAGUGAAAGUGUUUUAUUGUUUUAUUACUCUCUGUGCCACUGGCCGACACCUUUUAUUAUUGGUGCCCUUUUGACUUGGAUUGUGAGUUUCAUGGGGCCUCCCUCCAGGAGGGGACUUUCCCUCCCUUGAUCUGAGGCUCCCUGCCCCCCGCCAGAGUCCUGCCUUUUUCUUUGUCUGGAAACUUGCUGUUGCCAUCCUGCAUGCAACACUGGCUAGCUCCAAUUCUCACAGGUGAGCCUCCUUUCCUACCAGGAGUCUUGUCUCCCUUAUCUCGACGUCCAUAAAUCACAGGCCUGUGUCAAGACUCCUUUCCGGGACUAGUGUGUCCCUUCCAUCCUACAGGACUCCCUUCUUCUCGGUGAUGACUGGGAGGGUAGAUUUGGGCACUUUCUCCUCUCUUGUAUCUCUGAAAGGGUGACGACUCUCUCAGGGGUUACGAGACCAGCUGCUCUAGCCUCCAGCUCACCUUUGAUCUGGUCAUAAAAUGGGAAAGAUUUAUUCCCAUCCUCCCAGAACACAUCCCACUCGGUUGUCUCCUGUCCAGCUUAACUGCUUUGAGACUCGGAGACCCGCUCACACCAAAACAAUUAAUCUUUUAUGGCCAGACGGUCUGGCCUCGCUACAAACUAGACAAUGAGAGCCACUGGCCUGCAGAUGGCACUCUUGAUCUUACUAUUCUUAGAGAUCUAGAUAACUUCUACUAUUGCAACAGCAAGUAAAAGGAAUUAUGCUUUUAUUGUUCUUAGGGCACGUUCUUCUCUCCUCUAGGCAUGUGGGACUGCCCAACUCUGUUUGGCCCAUUCCACACCAUAAGAAUCCCCUCCUAAAGCCUUUCCUGACCCUCUCCAUGAUGUUUCUCCUGUCUUCACUCCCCAUCCAACCUAUCUUCAAUCUCCACAAGCUGACUCUUCACCCUCUCCCUUCCAGCCUGAUCCUAAUCAGCCAGAUGGCCAAACCCCCUCACCCCAGCCAGCUCAGCCAGCAGCCCAGUCCCCUUCUCUCCACCCUCCUUUACCCAUUUCUAGCCCUCUCCAUCUCCCAAACCUACUAUUUGCCUGGCCCCCACUUUCCAGGCACCACCCUCCCAUCCAACUCCUUCUCCCCCACCUGCCCUUACCCCACCCUCGGCCCCACACCCUCGGCCCCACACUCGUCCCAUUCUCCUCCUCCACAGUCUCCACCCUCUACAGACACAGCAUCUAUUUCAUCUCAAGGCUCCUCUUCUCCAGCUUCUCCCCUCCCCCACUGCCCCAUCGCCUUCCUCUCCUCCCACCCACCACACCUGAUCUAAGGAGACACAUGGUAAGAGGCCACAAGAGGGUAGCCUUCAGCCACAUGGUCACUGGUGGCCAUCUUGCUGCAAGCCUCAUGACUGCUAUAUGCCGUAAGCCGUGAGUCACAUGGUCACCAGCAGCCAUCUUGCCUCAGGUCACAUGACCACCCUCUGCCAUCUUGCCCUAGCCCCUUGUGCCCCCACUCCCCAACUCCACUUACCCUUCACCACCUCCUAUUUCAUCUCAACCUCAAUUUAUAUGCCCCCUUCGGGAACAGGCUGGCCCCUGAAGGGCUAAUUUAUAUCCAUGUACCUUUUACCCUCUCCGACCUUUUGUAGAUUUCUAAUAAAUUGGAGUCUUUUACAGCUGA